AGUGAACGCUGGCGGUAGACCUAACACAUGCAAGUCGAACGGCAGCACAGUAAGAGCUUGCUCUUACGGGUGGCGAGUGGCGGACGGGUGAGGAAUACAUCGGAAUCUACUUUUUCGUGGGGGAUAACGUAGGGAAACUUACGCUAAUAUCGCAUACGACCUACGGGUGAAAGCAGGGGAUCUUCGGACCUUGCGCGAUUGAAUGAGCCGAUGUAGGAUUAGCUAGUUGGCGGGGUAAAGGCCCACCAAGGCGACGAUCCGUAGCUGGUCUGAGAGGAUGAUCAGCCACACUGGAACUGAGACACGGUCCAGACUCCUACGGGAGGCAGCAGUGGGGAAUAUUGGACAAUGGGCGCAAGCCUGAUCCAGCCAUACCGCGUGGGUGAAGAAGGCCUUCGGGUUGUAAAGCCCUUUUGUUGGGAAAGAAAAGCAGCAGGUUAAUACCCCGCUGUUCUGACGGUACCCAAAGAAUAAGCACCGGCUAACUUCGUG
rnacentral:rRNA from 1 species